rnacentral:tmRNA from 1 species
GGGGGCGCCCUGGGUUCGACGUGGGUCGCGAAGCAUGGCAGUGCAUGUCAAGGUCCAGUCACCUUGUAAAUCAGCUGGAAAAUGAUAGUCGCCAACGACGAUCGUUACGCUCUAGCCGCCUAACACCGGCUGGACUCUGCCCCAGUUUGCUCAUGGGCUGGUCUGAACCCGCAAGGGGGAUGAGCGCAGAGUCAUAUACAUGGGAUCGUGAUGUACGGGGUCACUUCGUACUGAGCUAAAUCCAAGGUGACUCGCCCAAUAUCAGCCCGCCGGCCGGCGGUUAACGGGUUAAAUCAAAGGGCCAGGCUAAACAUGUAGUGCUGUCUGUGUAGGGCUUGCGGACGCGGGUUCGAUUCCCGCCGCCUCCACCA